UUAUGUGAUCGUCUCUCGCAUAUCAAUAAGCGGAGGAAAAGAAACUAACAAGGAUUCCCCUAGUAACGGCGAGUGAAGCGGGAAGAGCUCAAAUUUGAAAUCUUAAAGGGUUUCCCUUUACGAAUUGUAGUUUAAAGAAGUGUUUUCUGUUGAGGUUUUGGUAAAAGUUCUUUGGAAUAGGACAUCAUAGAGGGUGAGAAUCCCGUAUUUGACCUUUACUUUCAACUUUGUGAUACACUUUCAAAGAGUCGGAUUGUUUGGGAAUGCAGUCCAAAAUGGGUGGUAAAUUUCAUCUAAAGCUAAAUAUUGGCGAGAGACCGAUAGCGAACAAGUACCGUGAGGGAAAGAUGAAAAGAACUUUGAAAAGAGAGUUAAACAGUACGUGAAAUUGUCAAAAGGGAAGCGUUUGACACCAGUGUUGUUUUUCUGAAAAUCAAUUAAAGAACUGUUUAUGCUAAGCUGUUUAGACUUUAUCAGCUAUCUGUUUAGUUUUGAGCUUUUCUUUAAUGCACUUUUCAGUUAACAAGUCAACAUCAAUUUCUUUUGCUGUAAAAAAGCUUGAGGAAGGUGGCUUGAGAUUCGUCUUAAGUGUUUAUAGCCUCUUGCCUAUGCAGUCGGAGAGAUUGAGGUCUGCAGCGUAGAUCCUUCGGGGCUAAAUGCAUUUGUGCUAAGUUAUAGCAUUUUAUAGACAACUUGUUGACUAUGAUUUGUCUUGUAGCUUACUCGCUUAUGUUAUUUUACCUACGCUUAGGAUGUUGAUCUACAGAGCGAGAGU
rnacentral:rRNA from 1 species